UUGAGGAUGCUGGAUUGAGCUCUAUUGAGUGGAUCCCAGGCAAGCCUGAGGAGCUUUCAAGAAUCUAAUCUGCAAUGCAAGGGCAGUAUCAAGCAGACAACGACGUUCUGGUGAUAAGUCUUUCACGUCCCGGAUAAAGCUGGCCGAUGGAGAUAGAUACCGAGACGUGGAACCAGAAUAGGCCGUAAGUUCGGAACUCCCAACCACAGACGAGCCUCUUGGACACCGGGAGAGCCAAGUUGGUGGAGUUGCUAUAAGUGUACUGGCAGCCCCCUCGAGCUUGAAACUUGUGGAAGUAUUUCCGACCCGAGAAAUGUUGCUGCUGCUCAUCGUUGAAUAAUCCGCCAACCGUGGAAGUAAUGGUGUUCACGGUGUUCUUAGCAACGGAACAGAAGAAGGUUGAAUUCCCAAUCGCUUCAGCUGCUUCUUCUGGAAACAAUUCAAUUUUAAGAUCAGUCGGAGAGCACGAAAGGAAAGGAAAAUCCGGGAGAACGGCUCAGUCUUGAACUCCUGGCAGCAGCAGCCUGACGGGAAGAAAUAGAGGUGUAGUCUCAGCCCCAUUUCCUGCCACCGAGAGUGGCGCUCUGUCAUCGGUCCUCCACACGUAUUUCUUCUGCGAGCUGUACCACAACACUUGCCCAAACUCGUGCUCCCGAGCCAGCCUCAAGAAGUUGUCCUCCAGCGACGCAUCGUCCGCCACCGACAGCGUCACAGACCUCUUCGUCAUGGACCGUACAGAGGCCGGGACGACGAUUCUCAUGGACACGAGGUACUCGUAAGUUCCUCCUCCGCGACUCCACAGGCUGCUGCCGUGAGCCCCCGUGCUCACCAUGCCCGCUGGCGGGUGCAAAGUCACGCCUUGCACCGCCAGGAGAUCCAUGAGCUCGCCAAGCAUGAUUCCAGGAGGCGUGGAGGCCGUCAUGGAGCUCUUGUCGACGACGACGCUCGAGAUGGAGUUGAAGCUAGCGGUGCUGAUGACAACUUCCCCUGUGUCGGAUCCGGAGUUUGGACACGCGAAUUUGGUCAUGGUAUGUGCCUCCCUGCUUACCACUUUGAUCUUCUUGCGAUCCGGCCAUGGACCUCUGAGAUAGUUCUUGAGCUCGCAGCCACUCGCAUCGCAUUCUACUAGAGAUCUUACAAGAGCAAGUCGAGAGAAAAGAGGAGGGUGGACGAACUUCAUGAUCUCGAGCACUUCCGGUGAAAACUCUGUCAAUAAAAUGAUUUAAUAAUUAGUAUAUUGGUGGGUUGACAAACCCUAGGUAUGAAAGCAAGAAUCAGUCAAUGAAGGCCAUUUGUCUUUGCGGCCUAUCUAUCACUGGGAGCACCAAUCCUUCAUAAGGCUUGUAAAUUCCAUCCUGUCACUUCCCGCAAGUAAAGCAAUGCAGUCAAGGAGAAAGAAAGAUUUGAGUCUUGAUCAAACUCCACAGUAGAGAAAAAUUGAAUUUCAUAGUUAAUGAAAUUCAAAUGAAACUCUUGUAAAAUCUUGAAAAUUCAAAAGAGAUUCUUAAUUACUGAAUUAGUAUUCUCCUAGAAAUGCUAGUGCUUAUCAGCGUAGUAAUUUCAAGUAACUGGUAGUGCCUUUAUUUGGCACAUAUCGCUUUGCCACAUAAGCUGAGAUUGCCAAUAAAAAUUUCAUAUAAUUAUAUCAUAUUAAUAAUUCACAAUGAGUGAAAUCUCAAAUUUCUCUAGUGCAAACAAAGAAGAGGAACAUCAUCUCCUGCCCAGCUAAGACAACCUAUCAAGCCUUGGAGAUAAAACUCCAUAGUUCUACAGGUCAUUAAAGUUUUGAUGGGUGUGCAAUUUAAAGGUUCUUUUAUCCCACUCUAAAAACACUUUAAAAAUCGGUCAUUAGGGCACUAAUUUAUGUGUUUUUAAGGGUUUCCAAAAAAAAUCAAAAUUAGGAUAAUAUUUUUAGUUAUUUCUUUUUAUUCCUUUUUUGAUAAUUUGGUACAUUGAUUUAAAUUUUUCCUCAACAAAAUAAUGAAUAUUCUAAAUAAACCCUUAAGUUGUACACACUCACAAACUUUUAGUAUAAACCCCAGAUAUUCAGGGAGUCUGGGAGAAUGCUCGCUCGAUGUUUUUGUUUGAUCUAAGUGAGAUACUUGAUUGGCUUGAGCUGAAGCUAAUUCAUAUCUAUUUAAAACUGUUUAAAUCCACAUAUAAGUUGAUUGUGGGUUCAACUCCACCUUCUUCUUGACUUACCCUCAUUGAUGCUGGCCUGCUACCUUAGCCUCCUCCUCUUCCUUUCAAUCUACAGCAAAGAAAAACUCUAGGUAGCUUAUUGAUAGAUAUAAAUUUUAAAUAUUUAUCUGGCUUAGAUAUAAACUAUUAAGAAUUUCUCAAAGCUGUUAACAAGGUUAUAGGAGGAAUAAGAGCUAGAUUAGGCCCAAGAGAGACAUUGUGUCACGGGCAACAAUGAUCGCCCAAGCUGGAGUAUUUGGCUGCUGCAAGGGAGAUCUUCAAUGUGAGAGGACGACAGCCUAGCUCAAGAACAGGAGGAUGAUCAAGGGCAGAGAUUUUUUUCUUGAAGAGGAUGCCAGAGAUGGACGACUUCCAUGGUUAGAGACGUAUUGCAAAGGGCAGGCUCAACGAAGAAGAGGAACUGUCUGGAAUAAUUUUUUUGACUUUUUAACUUGUUGACCUUCUUGAUUCUUUAAAAAAUAUAAUCCGAUAUUUUAAGUAUAUUCCUUACACCGAGCACAUCUCAGAACUGAACAACAAACAAGGAGAAAUGAUGCAUCUUAACUUCUAUUGCUACAGACUCUUGCCUCGCGAUAAACAAGUCCUGGUCUGCAAAAAUAUCCUUUGUCUGGAGCACAGUGCCUAGCUUCGCUGCAAACACACAGUCCUUCCAAAGCACAUCCAUCCUUUGCUGUCACCGGACUUCCUCGGAUUCCCAGCACAGCAUCAGACCAAUCACUUGAAAACCAUCCUUGUGGAUCCAACUUCCUCCUAGCCGAAAGAAACUUAGACAAAUUCUUCGUCUUCCUUCCAAUGUCCCGGAAUGCAUGCGGCCUGUUCUUCCCGAAGUGUGGCUUCCCGUUAUACUUAAACAGUAAAAGCUGCUCUAUCUCCUCAGCAACGUCCUCGUACGUCUGUGGUUCCCCUGGCCUCCUGUCUCGGAACGUCAUGAACUCAAUAUUUGCUGCGUCAGUCUUCGGUCCAAGGUAAGCCUGAGAAGCUUUCAAGUAUCUAAUCAGUAAUGUCAUGGAAGUGUCAAGCAGACAGAGACGUUCUGGCGACAAGUCUCUCAACUGCUUCACGUCUCGGAUAAAGUUGCCAACAUCGCUGAUGGAGAUAGCUAUAGAGACGUGGAACCAGAAUUGGCCAUAAGCUCGGAAGUCCCAGCCGCAGACGAGCCUCUCAGACUCCGGAAGAGCCAAAUUGGUGGAGUUGCUGUAGGUGUACUGGCAGCCUCCGCGAGCUUGAAACUUGUGGAAGUAUCCGACCACAGGGAAUCCCGAGAAAUGUUGCUGCCGCUCAUCAUUGAAUAAUCCGCCACCCGUGGAAGUAACGGUGUUCACGGUGUUCUUAGCAACGGAGCAGAAGAAGGUUGAAUUCCCAAUCGCUUCAGCUGCUUCUUCUGGAAAACAUUCAAUUUUAAGAUCAGUCGGAGAGCACGAAAGGAAAGGAAAAUCCGGGACAGGGAUAUAGAAGACUGACGGC
rnacentral:lncRNA from 1 species